AUGCCUACCAAGGUAAUGGAUACCAAGAGACUGCUGAGGAGGGACAGCCUCAGCCCUGAUGGAUCAAGCCCCAUCAUCAGGCUUCAUCAACAUGGAGUUAUACCAGCACAAGUGGAAUGUGAGAUAAGGUUACGGUUUCUUUUCCAGUGUAGCCACAUUGCACAAUUCCUACUGUGCACCAUUUAUAGAAGGACUAACAGCUCUAGCUUGUUCUGCAGUUCUAAGAGAGAUCAAACUGUUACAAGCUACGGAAGACUUGUGAAAAACCCUAAUAUCUGGCUGCGAAACUGCUUACAUGCAUUUCGCACCGAAGUAGAACUGAGGAUGCCAGGGAAAGGACUGCAGAAUUAUACCGAUAAAGGGGAGCCAUUCUCUACAGAACCGCCUUGUGCAAAAGCAAAUGCAAAGGGAACUCAGACCCCGUGCAACAACCUGCAGGGACAUCAGCAGGAGAAAAUCUGCUGUUGCCUGCUGCUUGGGGAUUUUAUAUAA
rnacentral:lncRNA from 1 species